GUUGGAAAUUGAGACAUUUGCUUCCUUUGACCAUUCUAUUAGCUCCUCACUACCUCCAGCCUAGCUUAUUGCUAUUCUUCAAAAAUGUGUUAAACGCUAAGGUAACACCUGACCAGACUAAAGAGGUAGAGGCCAUUUUGAAGUCCGUUUUAAGUCCAUAUUACAAAUAAGAGGAUCUUUCUUUUCGUUGCGAACAAACGCGAAUCAAAGAGAGCAUAACGUAUUAAGAUUUAAGACACUUGCAGAUGCAACACUCUUGAAGCGCAUGAUUUCACCACAUCAACAAAACUAAUCGAAGAAAUGAUAAAGAGUCAUGGAUUUCCUGCACAUGCUGAGACGAUUAGGAUUUAAGGUAGUAAAGGAUCCUCAAGUAAUCAAGCACAUCAAGAGGGUAGU